rnacentral:lncRNA from 1 species
CCAGCCUCAGGAUUAGGUGAACUUGUUGGAAGCGCUGGCUGCUUUUCCAUCUCCGUCCCCGGGAGCUUUUCCAUCUCCUUAAACUCUAGUAGAAGCUGCAGCUGUGAGAACUGCCAGUGGGCCUCAGGGGAACACAAGGCCUCUGGAGGGGCUUCACACCAGCUUCCCUCACCCCUCUUUCCUGCUGAGAUCCCCAUCUUCUCAACCAUCCCCCAUACAGUUUUCUAAGAAAGCCAGAGGAGGAAAUUAUCAUGAAAAAGAGAAUUGAGGUGGACUUGUCUGCCGGGCCAUUUCCUUCCCACCUAAGCUCCUGCCAGAUGGCUCCCAGUUGCUGUGUUUGAGCCCAGGCUGACCACUUCCUAGGCAGUGGCGUUGGAGAUGGGUGUGGCCUUGCCUCCAGGAUCUCCUCACAGCUUGUGCUUCCUGACAGCUGUGGACACUUGGGCUGACUGCAGACCUCCCGCUACCCUGAUUUCCAGCAAGAAAGAACUAUUCCUUCCAGCCCAGAACACUGUCUCUGAACAGCAAGAUGGCUUUGAAACGCUUUCACAACGAAGCAAUACUUCCAAUUUGUUAAGCACAUGUGACUCAGCCACACCAUGGAACUCACUAGGAUUGAAGGUCUGCCUCAAGCAACUUAUUCCAGUUCUCUGGCUACGUUUGCUGUAUGCCCUAUACAUCUUAUUUCUACAGGAAUGGCAGUUUGGGGCAUUUGAAAAAGUUGAAGUUCCCUGUUGCAUGUCCUUGGUCCCCAAAUCCAAGGAUUGUAAUUGUCCCCAGACUGUAUUGCUUGCAGAAAGAUAGGACACAGUAUUUGAAACCAAUGGGCUAAAUUUUGCUAAAUAACAUCUUGUUUUAUUUAUUCACAAAUAAAAAUAAUUUUGAGAUACUCUAUAAAUAAUUUU